rnacentral:tRNA from 1 species
GUCCCCAUAGCUCAAUGGAUAGAGUGAUGGCCUCCGGAGCCAUUGAUCCAGGUUCGACUCCUGGUGGGGACA